UACGUAGGGCGCAAGCGUUGUCCGGAAUUAUUGGGCGUAAAGAGCUCGUAGGCGGCUUGUCACGUCGGGUGUGAAAGCCCGGGGCUUAACCCCGGGGUCUGCAUUCGAUACGGGCAGGCUAGAGUGUGGUAGGGGAGAUCGGAACUCCUGGUGUAGCGGUGAAAUGCGCAGAUAUCAGGAGGAACACCGGUGGCGAAGGCGGAUCUCUGGGCCAUUACUGACGCUGAGGAGCGAAAGCGUGGGGAGCGAACAGG
rnacentral:rRNA from 1 species